GGGCGGUUUGAUCCUGGCUCAGGACGAACGCUGGCGGCGUGCUUAACACAUGCAAGUCGAGCGGAAAGGCCCUUCGGGGUACUCGAGCGGCGAACGGGUGAGUAACACGUGAGUAAUCUGCCCUUAGCUCUGGGAUAGCUCCGGGAAACCGGGAUUAAUACCGGAUACGACCACUACGGACAUCUGUUUUGGUGGAAAGAAUUUCGGCUAGGGAUGAGCUCGCGGCCUAUCAGCUUGUUGGUGGGGUAACGGCCUACCAAGGCGACGACGGGUAGCCGGCCUGAGAGGGCGACCGGCCACACUGGGACUGAGACACGGCCCAGACUCCUACGGGAGGCAGCAGUGGGGAAUAUUGCGCAAUGGGCGAAAGCCUGACGCAGCGACGCCGCGUGGGGGAUGAAGGCCUUCGGGUUGUAAACCCCUUUCAGCAGGGACGAAGCGAAAGUGACGGUACCUGCAGAAGAAGCGCCGGCUAACUACGUGCCAGCAGCCGCGGUAAUAACCUAAAUAGC
rnacentral:rRNA from 1 species